UACAGGGGGGGCAAGCGUUGUUCGGAAUUACUGGGCGUAAAGGGCCAGUAGGCGGCCAACUAAGUCCGACGUGAAAUCCCCAAGCUUAACUUGGGAACUGCGUCGGAUACUGGAUGGCUUGAAUUCGGGAGAGGGAUGCAGAAUUCCAGGUGUAGCGGUGAAAUGCGUAGAUAUCGGGAGGAACACCUGUGGCGAAAGCGGCUCACUGGACCACAACUGACGCUGAGGCGCGAAAGCUAGGGGAGCAAACAGG
rnacentral:rRNA from 1 species